GAUGAACGCUGGCGGCGUGCCUAAUACAUGCAAGUCGAGCGAACGGACGAGAAGCUUGCUUCUCUGAUGUUAGCGGCGGACGGGCGAGUAACACGGGGAUAACCUACCUAUCAGACUGGGAUAACUGCGGGAAACCGUAGCUAAUAACGGAAAAUAUUUUGAACCGCAUGGUUCAAAAGUGAAAGACGGUCAUGCUGUCACUUAUAGAUGGAUCCGCGCUGCAUUAGCUAGUUGGUAAGGUAACGGCUUACCAAGGCAACGAUGCAUAGCCGACCUGAGAGGGUGAUCGGCCACCCUGGAACUGAGCCACGGCCCAGACUCCUCCGGGAGCCAGCAGUAGGGAAUCUUCCGCAAUGGGCGAAGUCCUGACGGAGCAACGCCGCGUGAGUGAUGAAGUUCUUCGGAUCGUAAAACUCUGUUAUUAGGGAAGAACAUAUGUGUAAGUAACUGUGCACACCCUGACGGUACCUAAUCAGAAAGCCACGGCUAACUACGUG
rnacentral:rRNA from 1 species